rnacentral:lncRNA from 1 species
UUCGCGCUGGGGGCGGCGCGACACGGCUCAGGCCCGCCAGUGCCCCACCGGGGCCCUAAUUAUUAGGGCCCGAGCGUAGCUGCUAAGCAGCUGCGAGAGCCCUCUUGUUCCUGAUGGAUUCUUCUUUUGUUAUUAGGGCCCGAGCGUAGCUGCUAAGCAGCUGCGAGAGCCCUAUUAUUCCUGAUGGAUUCUUCUUUCUUCUUCUUCUUAUUAGGGCCCGAGCGUAGCUGCUAAGCAGCUGCGAGAGCCCUAUUAUUCCCCAAGUGGUUUUUCUUUGUUUCUUUUUUCUUUUUCCUCCCCUUUGAACUGGAAAAUGGCCCACUUCCCACUGGCGAAAACUCAGGAAAUUUGGCAGGACGACUGGGCCUGGUGAAAAAUUUGAUAUUCCGAAGUCGCCCAAACAAGAAAAUGCAAAAUGGCUCCAUAGCGCCCCCUAAGGUGAAAAUUCACACUAUUGAGUGUCACGCCUGUACGCUUUGUCAAAAUGACACAAAAAUUGACACACACAUGUAUCUCAAUAAGAUCUACAAAAAAGUCAGUGCGGGCGUAUCUGUCAAAUGUACGGUUAAAGGGUUAUUUCGCAUUUUUUGCCGAUCCGCACACAUUGGAAUUUCGCUAACUCCUCCGAAGGCUUUCGUUCCACCGGCACCACAUUUGCUCAGGCCAAUCUACACCCCAUGGCCAUUAAAAGUUAUUCAAAUCAUGACGCUGCACCCCACGGUUUAGGUUCUAGGGGGCGCCAAAGAUAACCCUAAAAUCCACAUAUUUAAAAGUCUUAUAACUUUUUAUUUUUGCCCUCACUGGCCUCCAAGUUUUCUAGGAUGAUGCAAUGUCCAGCCAUCAACACAUUUGUGAAGGAAUUUUUACUCCCCAAAAGAGCGCCCCCCCAUGGCAGGAGAAAAAAGUCCAUUUUUUCUUGUCCCCUAAGGUGAAAAUACACAUUGUUGAGUGUCACGCCUGUACGCUUUGUCAAAAUGACACAAAAAUUGACACACACAUGUAUCUCAAUAAGAUCUACAAAAAAGUCAGUGCGCGCGUAUCUGUCAAAUGUACGGUUAAAGGGUUAUUCCGCAAUUUUUUGCCGAUUCGCACACAUUGGAAUUUCGCUAACUCCUCCUAAGGCUUUCGUUCCACCGGCACCACAUUUGCUCAGGCCAAAUUACACCCCAUGGCCAUUAAAAGUUAUUCAAAUCAUGACGCUGCACCCCACGGUUUACGUUCUAGGGGGCGCCAAAGAUAACCCAAAAAUCCACAUUUUUAAAAGUCUUAUAACUUUUUAUUUUUGUCCUCACUGGCCUCCAAGUUUUCUAGGAUGAUGCAAUGUCCAGCCAUCAACACAUUUGUGAAGGAAUUUUUACUCCCUAAAAGAGUGCCCCCCCAUGGCAGGAGAAAAAAGUCCAUUUUUUCUUGUCCCCUAAGGUGAAAAUACACAUUGUUGACUGUCACGCCUGUACGCUUUGGCAAAAUGACACAAAAAUUGACAAUCAUGUGUAUCUCAAUUAGAUCUACGAAAAAGUCAAAGAGCGCGUAUCUGUAUAAUGUACGGUAAAAGGGCUAUUUUGCAUUUUUUGCCGAUUCGCACACAUUGGAAUUUCGCUAACUCCUCCUAAGGCUUUCGUCCCACUGACACCAAAUUUGCUCAGGCCAAUCUACACUCCAUGGCCAUUCAAAGUUGUAAAAAUCAUGACGCUGCACCCCACGGUUUACGUUUUAGGGGGCGCCAAAGAUGACCCAAAUAUACAUUACAGUAGACAAAGUAGUUUUGCCCACUGAGUGGCGCCAAAGGGACUUGUCUGUGGAGUCUGUGAGUCACUAUUGGCCGUUUUUGACUACUUUAGAUUUUACCUUUAUAUUUCCUCUUACAAAAUUUUUACCUUGCCUUGCCUGGUAUCAUUUUUUUCAGCACAACCUCACCUGUGUCAAUUUACAGUUAUUUUAUCAUUUUGACAUACUAUAUUUACACAUUGGACCCAAAUUCACACACAAAACAUAAAAUCCGAGUGGAAAAAAGUAACGUUUUUACUGUGAAAACCACAAAUAUGUGUGAUGAACUGUUUUUAAAACUUAAACUUCAAAUAAAAAUUGUAAACUUCAAAACAUAUGCAAAUUUUUAACAAAGAACAUAGUAAUUUACCUCUAUUGACAUCAAAAUGCAGGCAAUGGCCCAGGUGUUCUUUGUAAAAUUAUUUACAAAACACUGUAUAGUCUCACAAAUGUCACUUUUCAUUUAUGCCACUACAAAAAAACAUGAUGUAAAUGAUGCAUGAUGUAAAACAUGAUGUAAAAAACUUGUGUAGAUCCUCCUCUAUGUUAGUCCAUGUGUAAUUUUUCCAUAAUUCUUUGUUUUUUGCAGCAUUUUUGUUAGUGUAACUGCAGAUUGUGCUGACAGUGUCUAUGGCAAAAAAAAAAAAAAAAAACUGAAAAUGCCUCAACAUGAACCCCUGGUGGUCUCUGAGGGUGAAACCUGCUAACUGCUGCAGCUCUGUCAGCUUCAGUCUCCCAUGCAGAGCUCGGAGCGCAUGUGUGGCUCUGCACCCUUAGCAGCGUUGCUAACUCCUCAGUAAGGAAAGCCUGCUUCAUGUCAGAGUCUCUAAACUCCAGAAGAAGUCGAUAAAAGUCACUUUCUUUCUAAAAAAAAGGCGUUAGGGGGUCUGAAAAGUCAUUGAAUCUAACAACAAAGUCGCUAGGUUUGCAACUACGUGUCCCAGACUGCAUCCCUGCUGAGAGUCCCUCCCUCCCUUCUCAUAUUGCAGGAAGAACGUAAGUUCCCGCCCCUUGUCAAUCAGUCACCAUAUAAUUUUGGAUUGGUUGCUGUGGUGAAGUUUUCCACCAAUAGGAGAGAUGUUGUGGUGUGUUUUUUUUUUCCUUUGGCAAGCCUUUUCCGCCUGUAAGACCUGUCGCUAAUGUCUGCAUGCUAUGUUUUCCUGUCUCAUACAGCGCGAUCGAGCGCCGAACGUGAUCAAAAUAAGCAGAAAACAAGUAUCGCGGACAUAAUUUAUCAUAACUCUGGUUUUAUUUGGCCUAUCAACACAAUUUAAAAACUGGUAUAUAGGUUGAGGUCCUCACUUUUGAGAUAAAUUGAAACGGAGAGUCAACGAGGCUCCGUCUUGCAGCUACAUCCGGUUAAAUAUGUCAUGUGACUUGAACGCACACACACACACACACACACACACACACACAGACACACACACACACACACACACACACACACACUCAGAGUCUGGUUUUUAGCACCUGCAAAAACAUGCUAUUUACAUAUUUGACAAGAAUGCAGAGGCUCCUUUUGCCCCUGAAAAAAAUCAAAUUUCAAACACAACUUGACUGGUCAUUUCUCCAAAAGACAACCAUGAAGCUCCAUCCAAACCUGAAGCAGGCAGUUGGUGCAUGUGUACAGUAACCUGAGGGGAGUGAGGUGACUGCUUCUGAGGAGAACAUGAGCAGUGAAGAUUCACCUUAGAGCUAGAACAGAGACGUGCACAUGAUUAUACAGGGGCAGGGGCUCAAGUUUUUUCCAGUUGUUUAUACAAUAUGGAAAUUAAUGUGAAAUUAAAAAACAAAGUAUUAAUAGAAAGGUAAUGACUGUCCUGUGUAGGUGACAGUAAUAUCCAAUAGGCUAGGCACUCACGAGGCUGGCUGUGGCAAGUGUAAGUGAAAGCAACACGCACUGGCAGGAAGAACAGCAAACGCAGAUGAAGGAAAAGGGUCUUUGCAGUGAUGGGCGUUACCAGAGAGGGCGAUGGCCAGAGGACACAAAUGGGACGGGGAGGCAGCGCGUUGGGGGGGGGGGGCGCGACACAGCUCGGGCCCGCCAGUGCCCCAACGGGGUCCUAGUUAUUAUUUUUCUGCCCCUUUGAACUGGAAAAUGGCCCACUUCCCACUGGUGAAAAGUCAUGAAAUUUGGCAGGACGACCGGGCCUGGUGAAAAAUUCGAUAUUCUGAAGUCGCCCAAAAAAUCAAAUGCAAAAUGGCUCCAUAGCGCCCCCUAAGGUGAAAAAUUCACAUGAUUGAGUGUCACGCCUGUACGCUUUGUCAAAAUGACACAAAAUUUGACACACACGUGUAUCUCAAUAAGAUCUACAAAAAAGUCAGUGCGGGCGUAUCUGUCAAAUGUAUGGUUAAAGGUUUAUUUCGCAUUUUUUGCCGAUCCGCACACAUUGGAAUUUCGCUAACUCCUCCGAAGGUUUUCGUUCCACCGGCACCACAUUUGCUCAGGCCAAUCUACACCCCAUGGCCAAUAAAAGUUGUACAAAUCAUGACGCUGCACCCCACGGUUUACGUUCUAGGGGGCGCCAAAGAUAACCCAAAAAUCCACAGUCUUAAAAGUCUUAUAACUUUUUAUUUUUGUCCUCACUGGCCUCCAAGUUCUCUAGGAUGAUGCAAUGUCCAGCCAUCAACACAUUUGUGAAGGAAUUUUUACUCGCCAAAAGAGCGCCCCCCCAUGGCAGGAGAAAAAUGUCAAUUUUUUCUUGUCUCCUAAGGCGAAAAUACACAUCGUUGACUGUCACGCCUUUACGCUUUGUCAAAAUGACACAAAAUUUGACACACACAUGUAUCUCAAUAAGAUCUACAAAAAAGUCAGUGCGGGCGUAUCUGUCAAAUGUACGGUUAAAGGGUUAUUUCGCAUUUUUUGCCGAUCCGCACACAUUGGAAUUUCGCUAACUCCUCCGAAGGCUUUCGUUCCAACGGCACCACAUUUGCUCAGGCCAAUCUACACCCCAUGGCCAUUAAAAGUUGUACAAAUCAUGACGCUGCACCCCACGGUUUACGUUCUAGGGGGCGCCAAAGAUAACCCAAAAAUCCACAGUCUUAAAAGUCUUAUAACUUUUUAUUUUUGUCCUCACUGGCCUCCAAGUUCUCUAGGAUGAUGCAAUGUCCAGCGAUCAACACAUUUGUGAAGGAAUUUUUACUCGCCAAAAGAGCGCCCCCCAUGGCAGGAGAAAAAAGUCCAUUUUUUCUUGUCUCCUAAGGCGAAAAUACACAUUGUUGACUGUCACGCCUUUACGCUUUGUCAAAAUGACACAAAAUUUGACACACACAUGUAUCUCAAUAAGAUCUACGAAAAAGUCAAUGCGAGCGUAUCUGUUCAAUGUACGGUUAAAGGGCUAUUUCGCAUUUUUUGCCGAUUCGCACACAUUGGAAUGUGGCUAACUCCUCCUAAAGCUUUUGUCCCAUCGGCUUCAAAUUUGCUCAGGCCAAUCUACACCCCAUGGCCAUUAAAAGUUGUACAAAUCAUGACGCUGCACCCCACGGUUUACGUUCUAGGGGGUGCCAAAGAGGACCCAAAUAUCCACAUUUUUAAAAGUCUUAUAACUUUUUAUUUUUGUCCUCACUGGCCUCCAAGUUUUCUAGGAUGAUGCAAUGUCCAGCCAUCAACACAUUUGUGAAGGAAUUUUUUCUCCCCAAAAGAGCGCCCCCCCAUGGCAGGAGAAAAAGUCAAGUUUUUCCUGCCCAUCGCUCAAUGGCUCAAAAGCAUCGCUCUCUCGGCAAAACCGAAAGGAGGAGCAACUUGCCAUUUGGAUAUAUACUAGCUGUGUUUGUGCCCUCACUCAUGGUCCAGACUUUUUUCAAAAAGGACAUGGAGUUUGUCUGCAGCGAGCGUUUUGGUAGAAACUGCGCCUCCCAUUCAUUAUAAUGGUAAAUGACCACAGACAAGUGCGCACACCAUCUUUGGACCUUGAGUGUGACGCGAUCAAGAGGGGUAGGCGGUCGCGCUGGGGGCGGGCGCGACACGGCUCGGGCCCGCCAGUGCCCCAACGGGGCCCUAGUUAUUAUUAUUAUUUUUCCUCCGCUUUAAACUGGAAAAUGGCCCACUUCCCACUGGCGAAAACUCAGGAAAUUUGGCAGGACGACCGGGCCUGGUGAAAAAUUCGAUAUUCUGAAGUCGCCCAAACAAUAAAAUACAAAAUGGCUCCAUAGCGCCCCCUAAGGUGAAAAUUCACACUAUUGACUGUCACGCCUGUACGCUUUGUCAUAUUGACACAAAAAUUGACACACACAUGUAUCUCAAUAAGAUCUACAAAAAAGUCAGUGCGGGCGUAUCUGUCAAAUGUACGGUUAAAGGGGUUAUUUCGCAUUUUUUGCAGAUCCGCACACAUUGGAAUUUCGCUAACUCCUCCGAAGGCUUUCGGUCCACCGGCACCACAUUUGCUCAGGCCAAUCUACACUCCAUGGCCAUUCAAAGUUGUACAAAUCAUGAUGCUGCACCCCAUGGUUUAGGUUCUAGGGGGCGCCAAAAAUAACCCUAAAAUCCACAUUCUUAAAAGUUUUAUAACUUUUUAUUUUUGCCCUCACUGGCCUCCAAGUUUUCUAGGAUGAUGCAAUGUCCAGCCAUCAACACAUUUGUGAAGGAAUCUUUACUCCCCAAAAGAGCGCCCCCCCAUGGCAGGACAAAAAAGUCAAUUUUUUCUUGUCCCCUAAGGUGAAAAUACACAUUGUUGAAUGUCACGCCUGUACGCUUUGUCAUAUUGACACAAAAUUUGACAAUCACGUGUAUCUCAAUAAGAUCUACGAAAAAGUCAAUGCGCGCGUAUCUGUAAAAUGUACGGUUAAAGGGCUAUUUCGCAUUUUUUGCCGAUUCGCACACAUAGGAAUGUGGCUAACUCCUCCUAAGGCUUUCGUCCCACUGACACCAAAUUUGCUCAGGCCAAUCUACACCCCAUGGCCAUUCAAAGUUGUAAAAAUCAUGACGCUGCACCCCAUGGCUUACGUUCUAGGGGGCGCCAAAGAGGACCCAAAUAUCCACAUUUUUAAAAGUCUUAUAACUUUUUAUUUUUGUCCUCACUGGCCUCCAAGUUUUCUAGGAUGAUGCAAUGUCCAGCCAUCAACACAUUUGUGAAGGAAUUUUUCUCCCCAAAAGAGCGCCCCCCAUGUCAGGAGAAAAAGUCAAGUUUUUCCUGCCCAUCGCUCAAUGGCUCAAACGCAUCGCUUUCUCGGCAAAACCGAAAGGAGGAGCAACUUGCCAUUUGGAUAUAUACUAGCUGUGUUUGUGCCCUCACUCAUGGUCCAGACUUUUUUCAAAAAGGACAUGGAGUUUGUCUGCAGCGAGUGUUUUGGUAGAAACUGCGCCUCCCAUUCAUUAUAAUGGUAAAUGACCACAGACAAGUGCGCACACCAUCUUUGGACCUUGAGUGUGACGCGAUCGGGAGGGGUAGGCGGUCGCGCUGGGGGCGGCGUGACACGGCUCGGGCCCGCCAGUGCCCCACCGGGGCCCUAGUUCGUUAUUAUUUUUCCUCCGCUUUAAACUGGAAAAUGGCCCACUUCCCACUGGCGAAAACUCAGGAAAUUUGGCAGGACGACCGGGCCUGGUGAAAAAUUCGAUAUUCUGAAGUCGCCCAAACAAUAAAAUGCAAAAUGGCUCCAUAGCGCCCCCUAAGGUGAAAAUUCACAUGACGGCUGUACGCUUUGUCAUAUUGACACAAAAAUUGACACACACAUGUAUCUCAAUAAGAUCUAUAAAAAAGUCAGUACGGGCGUAUCUGUCAAAUGUACGGUUAAUGGGUUAUUUUGCAUUUUUUGCAGAUCUGCACACAUUGGAAUUUCGCUAACUCCUCCGAAGGCUUUCCGUUCGACCGGCACCACAUUUGCGCAGGCCAAUCUACCUCCCAUGGCCAUUAAAAGUUGUACAAAUCAUGACGAUGCACCCCACGGUUUACGUUCUAGGGGGCGCCAAAGAUAACCCAAAAUCCACAUUCUUAAAAGUCUUAUAACUUUUUAUUUUUGUCCUCACUGCCCUCCAAGUUUUCUAGGAUGAUGCAAUGUCCAGCCAUCAACACAUUUGUGAAGGAAUUUUUACUCCCCAAAAGAGCGCCCCCCCAUGGCAGGAGAAAAAAGUCAAUUUUUUCUUGUCCCCUUACAUGAAAAUACACAUUGUUGAGUGUCAUGCCUGAACGCUUUGUCAUAUUGACACAAAAAUUGACAAUCACGUGUAUCUCAAUUAGAUCUACGAAAAAGUCAAAAAGCGCGUAUCUGUAUAAUGUACGGUUAAAGGGCUAUUUCGCAUUUUUUGCCGAUUCGCACACAUUGGAAUGUGGCUAUCUCCUCCUAAGGCUUUCGUCCCACCGAUACCAAAUUUGCUCAGGGCAAUCUACACCCCAUGCCCAUUCAAAGUUGUAAAAAUCAUGACGCUGCACCCCACGGUUUACGUUCUAGGGGGCACCAAAGAUGACCCAAAAAUCCACAUUCUUAAAAGUCAUUUUGGCCACUGCAGGAGUACAGAGUACUGCAGUUCUAGGGGGCGCCAAAGAUGACCCAAAAAUCCACAUUCUUAAAAGUCUUUUUGGCCACUGCAGGAGUACAGAGUACUGCAGGAUACACACACAUACACACACACACACACACACACACACACACACACACACACACACACACACACUCAGAGUCUGUUUUUUAGCACCUGCAAAAACAUGCUGUUUACAUAUUUGACAAGAAUGCAGAGGCUUCCUUUUGCCCCUGAAAAAAAUCAGAUUUCAAACACAACUUGACUGUUCAUUUCUCCAAAAGACAACCAUGAAGCUCUAUCCAAACCUGAAGCAGAUAGUUGGUGCAUGUGUACAGUAACCUGAGGGGAGUGAGGUGACUAUUUCUGAGGAGAACAUGAGCAGUGAAGAUUCACCUUGGAGCUAGAACAGGGACGUGCACAUGAUAAUACAGGGGCAGGGGCUCAAGUUUUUUCCAGUCAUUUAUACAAUAUGGAAAUUAAUGUGAAAUUAAAACACAAAUAUGUGUGAUGAACUGUUUUUAAAACUUAAACUUCAAAUAAAAAUUGUAAACUUCAAAACAUAUGCAAAUUUUUAACAAAGAACAUAGUAAUUUACCUCUAUUUACAUCAAAAUGCAGGCAAUGGCCCAGGCGUUCUUUGUAAAAUUAUUUACAAAACACUGUAUAGUCUCACAAAUGUCACUUUUUAUUUAUGCCACUACAAAAAAACAUGAUGUAAAUGAUGCAUGAUGUAAAACAUGAUGUAAAAAACUUGUGUAGAUCCUCCUCUAUGUCAGUCCAUGUGUAAUUUUUCCAUAAUUCUUUGUUUUUUGCAGCAUUUUUGUUAGUGUAACUGCAGAUUGUGCUGACAGUCUAUGGCAAAAAAAACAAAAACUGAAAAUGCCUCAACAUGAACCCCUGGUGGUCUCUGAGGGUGAAACCUGCUAACUGCUGCAGCUCUGUCAGCUUCAGUCUCCCAUGCAGAGCUCGGAGCGCAUGUGUGGCUCUGCACCCUUAGCAGCGUUGCUAACUCCUCAGUAAGGAAAGCCUGCUUCAUGUCAGAGUCUCUAAACUCCAGAAGAAGUCGAUAAAAGUCCCUUUCUUUCUAAAAAAAGUCGUUAGGGGGUCUGAAAAGUAAUUGAAUCUAACAACAAAGUCGCUAGGUUUGCAACUACGUGUCCCAGACUGCAUCCCUGCUGAGAGUCCCUCCCUCCCUUCUCAUGUUGCAGGAAGAACGUAAGCGCCCGCCCCUUGUCAAUCAGUCACCAUAUAAUUUUGGAUUGGUUGUUGUGGUGAAGUUUUCCACCAAUAGGAGAGAUGUUGUGGUGUGUUUUUUUUUUCUUUUGGCAAGCCUUUUCCGCCUGUAAGACCUGUCGCUAAUGUGUGCAUGCUAUGUUUUCCUGUCUCAUACAGCGUGAUCGAGCGCCGAACGUGAUCAAAAUAAGCAGAAAAAAAGUAUCGCGGACAUAAUUUAUCAUAACUCUGGUUUUAUUUGGCCUAUCAACACAAUUUAAAAACUGGUAUAUAGGUUGAGGUCCUCACUUUUGAGAUAAGUUGAAACGGAGAGUUAACGAGGCUCCGUCUUGCAGCUACAUCCGGUUAAAUAUGUCAUGUGACUUGAACGCACACAUAGACACACACACACACACACACACACACACACACACACACACACACACACACACACACACACUCAGAGUCUGGUUUUUAGCACCUGCAAAAACAUGCUAUUUACAUAUUUGACAAGAAUGCAGAGGCUCCUUUUGCCCCUGAAAAAAAUCAAAUUUCAAACACAACUUGACUGGUCAUUUCUCCAAAAGACAACCAUGAAGCUCCAUCCAAACCUGAAGCAGGCAGUUGGUGCAUGUGUACAGUAACCUGAGGGGAGUGAGGUGAGUGCUUCUGAGGAGAACAUGAGCAGUGAAGAUUCACCUUGGAGCUAGAACAGAGACAUGCACAUGAUUAUACAGGGGCAGGGGCUCAAGUUUUUUCCAGUCGUUUAUACAAUAUGGAAAUUAAUGUGAAAUUAAAACACAAAGUAUUAAUAGAAAGGUAAUGACUGUCCUGUGUAGGUGACAGUGAUAUCCAAUAGGCUAGGCACUCACGAGGCUGGCUGUGGCAAGUGUAAGUGAAAGCAACACGCACUGGCAGGAAGAACAGCAAACGCCGAUGAAGGAAAAGGGUCUUUGCAGUGAUGGGCGUUAACAGAGAGGGCGAUGGCCAGAGGACACAAAUGGGACGGGGAGGCAGCACGUUGGGGGGGGGGGGGGGGGAUGCGACACGGCUCGGGCCCGCCAGUGCCCCAACGGGGUCCUAGUUAUUUUUCCUCCGCUUUAAACUGGAAAAUGGCCCACUUCCCACUGGCGAAAACUCAUGAAAUUUGGCAGGACGACCGGGCCUGGUGAAAAAUUCGAUAUUCUGAAGUCGCCCAAACAAGAAAAUGCAAAAUGGCUCAAUAGCGCCCCCAAAGGUGAAAAUUCACACUAUUGACUGUCACGCCUGUACGCUUUGUCAUAUUGACACAAAAAUUGACACACACAUGUAUCUCAAUAAGAUCUACAAAAAAGUCAGUGCGGGCGUAUCUGUCAAAUGUACGGUUAAAGGGUUAUUUCGCAUUUUUUGCCGUUCCGCACACAUUGGAAUUUCGCUAACUCCUCCGAAGGCUUUCGUUCCACCAGCACUACAUUUGCUCAGGCCAAUCUACACCCCAUGGCCAUUGAAAGUUGUACAAAUCAUGACGCUGCACCCCACGGUUUACGUUCUAGGGGGCGCCAAAGAUAACCCACAAAUCCACAUUCUUAAAAAUCUUAUAACUUUUUAUUUUUGUCCUCAUUGGCCUCCAAGUUUUCUAGGAUGAUGCAAUGUCCAGCCAUCAACACAUUUGUGAAGGAAUUUUUACUCCCCAAAACAGCGCCCCCCCAUGGCAGGACAAAAAAGGCCAUUUUUUCUUGUCCCCUAAGGUGAAAAUACACAUUGUUCAGUGUCAUGCCUAUACGCUUUGUCAUAUUGACACAAAAUUUGACACACACGUGUAUCUCAAUAAGAUCUACGAAAAAGUCAAUGGGCACAUAUCUGUAAAAUGUACGGUUAAAGGGCUAUUUUGCAUUUUUUGCCGAUUCGCACACAUUGGAAUGUGGCUAACUCCUCCUAAGGCUUUCGUUCUACUGACACCAAAUUUGCUCAAGCCAAUCUACACCCCAUGGCCAUUCAAAGUUGUACAAAUCAUGACGCUGCACCCCACGGUUUAGGUUCUUGGGGGCGCCAAAGAUGACCCAAAUAUCCACAUUUUUAAAAGUCUUAUAACUUUUUAUUUUUGUCCUCACUGGCCUCCAAGUUUUCUAGGAUGAUGCAAUGUGCAGCCAUCAACACAUCUGUGAAGGAAUUUUUUCUCCCCAAAAGAGCCCCCCCCCAUGGCAGGAGAAAAAGUCAAGUUUUUCCAGCCCAUCGCUUAAUGGCUCAAACGCAUUGCUCUCCCGCUAAAACCAAAAGGAGGAGCAACUUGCCAUUUGGAUAUGUCCUAGCUGUGUUUGUGCCCUCACUCAUGGUCCAGACUUUUUUCAAAUAGGACAUGUAGUUUGUCUGCAGCGAGCGUUUUGGUAGAAACUGUGCCUCCCAUUCAUUAUAAUGGGAAAUGACCAAAGACAGGUGCGCACACCAUCUUUGGACCUUGACUUUGACGUCACAGUUUGAGAUACAAAUGUUAUUUGACCUCUGACCUUUGGUGGACACCCUAACCUUUCAACCCGCGAAAACGGCGUUUCAAUAGCUCUUACGGCUUUCCUACAAAUACACUUUGUUCAGCUACUCCUACUGUCCUUUAAGCUCUGCUUCUCAGAUCAUCAAGAGUGUGCACGUGUGUAAUGAGCGCAUAUUGAAUGUUAAUUAUGUUAAAUAUGUUAAUUAUUAGAAGAAAAAACAACAACAGUCCUUUUGGACAAAAUUUCUUUUUAUUACAGAAUUAGAAUAAUGGAAGCAUAGUCCAAGGAAACCAUUCAAGUGAUGUCAUACCUCAUAAUUUAUUGAGAUGUUGGCUAGUCUGGGCAUUUCUUCAUUCAUCAGGUUUCCUGCAUGCAUACUAACAGAGCACAUCAGUAGCAGUGAGUGAUAAGUAUGAGUGUGUCAUUGUGUAAGAAAGAAAGUGGUUUACUUACACAUCCAUAGAAAAUAGGUGGUUGAGCACAGCACGCAAACAAAGCUUUGCCACAACGGUUGAACUUCCCAAGUAGCUGAUACCAAGGUCACACAAUCAUGGUGAGCAAAGGUCAAACCAGGCCAGGCACUCACGAGGCUGGCUGUGGAAAGUGUAAGUGAAAGCAACACGCAAUGGCAGGAAGAACAGCAAACACCGAUGAAGGAAAAGGGUCUUUGCAGUGAUGGGCGUCACCAGAGAGGGCGAUGGCCAGAGGGCACGAAUGGGACGGGGAGGCGGUCGCGCUGGGGGCGGUGCGACGCGGCUCGGGCCCGCCAGUGCCCCAACGGGGCCCUAGUUAGGGCCCGAGCGUAGCUGCUAAGCAGCUGCGAGAGCCCUAUUAUUCCCCAAGUGGUUUUUCUUUAGGGCCCGAGCGUAGCUGCUAAGCAGCUGCGAGAGCCCUCUUGUUCCUGCAUGUUUCCUUCUUUUGUUAUUAUUAGGGCCCGAGCGUAGCUGCUAAGCAGCUGCGAGAGCCCUCUUGUUCCUGCAUGUUUCCUUCUUUUGUUAUUAUUAGGGCCCGAGCCAGCUGCAGAGCAGCCGGGCGUAGGCCCUGUUAUUCCUGUAGGGGUUUUUCUUUGUUUCUUUCUUUCUUCUUUUUCCUCCCCUUUGAACUGGAAAAUGGCCCACUUCCCACUGGCGAAAACUUAGGAAAUUUGGCAGGACGACCGGGCCUGGUGAAAAAUUUGAUAUUCCAAAGUCGCCCAAACAAGAAAAUGAAAAAUGGCUCCAUAGCGCCCCCUAAGGUGAAAAUUCACACUAUUGACUGUCACGCCUGUACGCUUUGUCAAAAUGACACAAAAAUUGUCACACACAUGUAUCUCAAUAAGAUCUACAAAAAAGUCAGUGCGGGUGUAUCUGUCAAAUGUACGGUUAAAGGGUUAUUGCGCAUUUUUUGCCGAUCCGCACACAUUGGAAUUUCGCUAACUCCUCCGAAGGCUUUCGUUCCACCGGCACCACAUUUGCUCAGGCCAAUCUACACCCCAUGGCCAUUAAAAGUUAUUCAAAUCAUGACGCUGCACCCCACGGUUUAGGUUCUAGGGGGCGCCAAAGAUAACCCUAAAAUCCACAUAUUUCAAAGUCUUAUAACUUUUUAUUUUUGCCCUCACUGGCCUCCAAGUUUUCUAGGAUGAUGCAAUGUCCAGCCAUCAACACAUUUGUGAAGGAAUUUUUACUCCCCAAAAGAGCGCCCCCCCAUGGCAGGAGAAAAAAGUCCAUUUUUUCUUGUCCCAUAAGGUGAAAAUACACAUUGUUUAGUGUCACGCCUGUACGCUUUGGCAAAAUGACACAAAAAUUGACACACACAUGUAUCUCAAUAAGAUCUACGAAAAAGUCAAUGCGCGCGUAUCUGUCAAAUGUACGGUUAAAGGGUUAUUGCGCAUUUUUUGCCGAUUCGCACACAUUGGAAUUUCGCUAACUCCUCCUAAGGCUUUCGUUCCACCGGCACCACAUUUGCUCAGGCCAAUCUACACCCCAUGGCCAUUAAAAGUUGUAAAAAUCAUGACGCUGCACCCCACGGUUUACGUUUUAGGGUGCGCCAAAGAUGACCCAAAUAUACAUUACAGUAGACAAAGUAGUUUUGCCCACUGAGUGGCGCGAAAGGGACUUGUCUGUGGAGUCUGUGAGUCACUAUUGGCCGUUUUUGACUACUUUAGAUUUUACCUUUAUAUUUCCUCUUACAAAAUUUUUACCUUACCUUGCCUGGUAUCAUUUUUUUCAGCACAACCUCACCUGUGUCAAUUUACAGUUAUUUUAUCAUUUUGACAUACUAUAUUUGGACCCAAAUUCACACACAAAACAUAAAAUCCGAGUGGAAAAAAGUAACGUUUUUACUGUGAAAACCACAAAUAUGUGUGAUGAACUGUUUUUAAAACUUAAACUUCAAAUAAAAAUUGUAAACUUCAAAACAUAUGCAAAUUUUUAACAAAGAACAUAGUAAUUUACCUCUAUUGACAUCAAAAUGCAGGCAAUGGCCCAGGUGUUCUUUGUAAAAUUAUUUACAAAACACUGUAUAGUCUCACAAAUGUCACUUUUUAUUUAUGCCACUACAAAAAAACAUGAUGUAAAUGAUGCAUGAUGUAAAACAUGAUGUAAAAAACUUGUGUAGAUCCUCCUCUAUGUUAGUCCAUGUGUAAUUUUUCCAUAAUUCUUUGUUUUUUGCAGCAUUUUUGUUAGUGUAACUGCAGAUUGUGCUGACAGUGUCUAUGGCAAAAAAAAAAAAAAAACUGAAAAUGCCUCAACAUGAACCCCUGGUGGUCUCUGAGGGUGAAACCUGCUAACUGCUACAGCUCUGUCAGCUUCAGUCUCCCAUGCAGAGCUCGGAGCGCAUGUGUGGCUCUGCACCCUUAGGAGCGUUGCUAACUCCUCAGUAAGGAAAGCCUGCUUCAUGUCAGAGUCUCUAAACUCCAGAAGAAGUCGAUAAAAGUCACUUUCUUUCUAAAAAAAAGUCGUUAGGGGGUCUGAAAAGUCAUUGAAUCUAACAACAAAGUCGCUAGGUUUGCAACUACGUGUCCCAGACUGCAUCCCUGCUGAGAGUCCCUCCCUCCCUUCUCAUAUUGCAGGAAGAACGUAAGCGCCCGCCCCUUGUUAGGGCCCGAGCGUAGCUGCUAAGCAGCUGCGAGAGCCCUCUUGUUCCUGCAUGUUUCCUUCUUUCGUUAUUAGGGCCCGAGCGUAGCUGCUAAGCAGCUGCGAGAGCCCUAUUAUUCCCCAAGUGGUUUUUCUUUGUUUCUUAGGGCCCGAGCGUAGCUGCUAAGCAGCUGCGAGAGCCCUAUUAUUCCCCAAGUGGUUUUUUCUUUGUUUCUUUUUAGGGCCCGAGCGUAGCUGCUAAGCAGCUGCGAGAGCCCUAUUAUUCCCCAAGUGGUUUUUCUUUGUUUCUUUCUUUAGGGCCCGAGCGUAGCUGCUAAGCAGCUGCGAGAGCCCUCUUGUUCCUGUAGUUUCCUUCUUUUGUUAUUAGGGCCCGAGCCAGCUGCAGAGCAGCCGGGCGUAGGCCCUAUUAUUCCCCAAGUGGUUUUUUAGGGCCCGAGCGUAGCUGCUAAGCAGCUGCGAGAGCCCUCUUGUUCCUGAUGGAUUCUUCUUUUGUUAUUAUUAGGGCCCGAGCGUAGCUGCUAAGCAGCUGCGAGAGCCCUCUUGUUCCUGAUGGAUUCUUCUUUCGUUAUUUUUCCUCCGCUUUAAACUGGAAAAUGGCCCACUUCCCACUGGCGAAAACUCAGGAAAUUUGGCAGGACGACCGGGCCUGGUGAAAAAUUUGAUAUUCUGAAGUCGUCCAAACAAAAAAAUGAAAAAUGGCUCCAUAGCGCCCCCUAUGGUGAAAACUCACCUGAUGCCUGUACGCUUUGUCAAAAUGACAGAAAAUUUGACACACAUGUGUAUCUCAAUAAGAUCUACGAAAAAGUCAGUGCGGGCGUAUCUGUCAAAUGUAUGGUUAAAGGGCUAUUUCGCUUUUUUUGCCGAUCCGCACACAUUGGAAUUUCGCUAACUCCUCCGAAGGCUUUCGUUCCACCGGCACCACAUUUGCUCAGGCCAAUUUACACCCCAUGGCCAUUAAAAGUUGUACAAAUCAUGACGCUGCACCCCACGGUUUAGGUUCUAGGCGGCGCCAAAGAUAACCCAAAAAUCCACAUUCUUAAAAGUCUUAUAACUUUUUAUUUUUGUCCUCACUGGCCUCCAAGGUUUCUAGGAUGAUGCAAUGUCCAGCCAUCAACACAUUUGUGAAGGAAUUUUUACUCCCCAAAAGAGCGCCCCCCCAUGGCAGGAGAAAAAAGUCCAUUUUUUCUUGUCUCCUAAGGUAAAAAUACACAUUGUUGAGUGUCACGCCUAUACACUUUGUCAUAUUGACACACAAUUUGACAAUCACGUGUAUCUCAAUAAGAUCUACAAAAAAGUCAAUGGGCACGUAUCUGUCAAAUGUACGGUUAAAGGGCUAUUUCGCAUUUUUUGCCGAUUCGCACACAUUGGAAUGUGGCUAUCUCCUCCUAAGGCUUUCGUCCCACCGAUACCAAAUUUGCUCAGGGCAAUCUACACCCCAUGCCCAUUCAAAGUUGUAAAAAUCAUGCCGCUGCACCCCACGGUUUACGUUCUAGGGGGCGCCAAAGAUGACCCAAAAAUCCACAUUCUUAAAAGUCAUUUUGGCCACUGCAGGAGUACAGAGUACUGCAGUUCUAGGGGGCGCCAAAGAUGACCCAAAAAUCCACAUUCUUAAAAGUCUUUUUGGUCACUGCAGGAGUACAGAGUACUGCAGGAUUCACACACACACACACACACACACACACACACACACACUCAGAGUCUGUUUUUUAGCACCUGCAAAAACAUGCUGUUUACAUAUUUGACAAGAAUGCAGAGGCUCCUUUUGCCCCUGAAAAAAAUCAGAUUUCAAACACAACUUGACUGGUCAUUUCUCCAAAAGACAACCAUGAAGCUCCAUCCAAACCUGAAGCAGAUAGUUGGUGCAUGUGUACAGUAACCUGAGGGGAGUGAGGUGACUGCUUCUGAGGAGAACAUGAGCAGUGAAGAUUCACCUUGGAGCGAGAACAGGGACGUGCACAUGAUUAUACAGGGGCAGGGGCUCAAGUUUUUUCCAGUCGUUUAUACAAUAUGGAAAUUAAUGUGAAAUUAAAAAACAAAGUAUUAAUAGAAAGGUAAUGACUGUCCUGUGUAGGUGACAGUGAUAUCCAAUAGGCUAGGCACUCACGAGGCUGGCUGUGGCAAGUGUAAGUGAAAGCAACACGCACUGGCAGGAAGAACAGCAAACCCCGAUGAAGGAAAAGGGUCUUUGCAGUGAUGGGCGUCACCAGAGAGGACGAUGGCCAGAGGACGCGAAUGGGACGGGGAGGCAGCGCGUUGGGGGGGGGCGCGACACAGCUCGGGCCCGCCAGUGCCCCAACGGGGCCCUAGUCUUUAGGGCCCGAGCGUAGCUGCUAAGCAGCUGCGAGAGCCCUGUUGUUCCUGAUGAGUUUUUCUUUCUUCUUUAGGGCCCGAGCGUAGCUGCUAAGCAGCUGCGAGAGCCCUCAUGUUCCUGCAUGUUUCCUUCUUUCGUUAUUAUUUUUCCUCCGCUUUAAACUGGAAAAUGGCCCACUUCCCACUGGCGAAAACUCAGGAAAUUUGGCAGGACGACCGGGCCUGGUGAAAAAUUCGAUAUUCUGAAGUCGCCCAAACAAUAAAAUGCAAAAUGGCUCCAUAGCGCCCCCUAAGGUGAAAAUUCACAUGACGGCUGUACGCUUUGUCAUAUUGACACAAAAAUUGACACACACAUGUAUCUCAAUAAGAUCUACAAAAAAGUCAGUGCGGGCGUAUCUGUCAAAUGUACGGUUAAUGGGUUAUUUUGCAUUUUUUGCAGAUCUGCACACAUUGGAAUUUCGCUAACUCCUCCGAAGGCUUUCGUUCGACCGGCACCACAUUUGCGCAGGCCAAUCUACCCCCCAUGGCCAUUAAAAGUUGUACAAAUCAUGACGCUGCACCCCACGGUUUACGUUCUAGGGGGCGCCAAAGAUAAUCCAAAAUCCACAUUCUUAAAAGUCUUAUAACUUUUUAUUUUUGUCCUCACUGGCCUCCAAGUUUUCUAGGAUGAUGCAAUGUCCAGCCAUCAACACAUUUGUGAAGGAAUUUUUACUCCCCAAAAGAGCGCCCCCCCAUGGCAGGAGAAAAAAGUCCAUUUUUUCUUGUCCCCUUACAUGAAAAUACACAUUGUUGAGUGUCACGCCUGAACGCUUUGUCAUAUUGACACAAAAAUUGACAAUCAUGUGUAUCUCAAUUAGAUCUACGAAAAAGUCAAAAAGCGCGUAUCUGUAUAAUGUACGGUUAAAGGGCUAUUUCACAUUUUUUGCCGAUUUGCACACAUUGGAAUGUGGCUAUCUCCUCCUAAGGCUUUCGUCCCACCGAUACCAAAUUUGCUCAGGGCAAUCUACACCCCAUGCCCAUUCAAAGUUGUAAAAAUCAUGACGCUGCACCCCACGGUUUACGUUCUAGGGGGCGCCAAAGAUGACCCAAAAAUCCACAUUCUUAAAAGUCAUUUUGGCCACUGCAGGAGUACAGAGUACUGCAGUUCUAGGGGGCGCCAAAGAUGACCCAAAAAUCCACAUUCUUAAAAGUCUUUUUGGCCACUGCAGGAGUACAGAGUACUGCAGGAUACACACACAUAUACACAUACACACACACACACACACACACUCAGAGUCUGUUUUUUAGCACCUGCAAAAACAUGCUGUUUACAUAUUUGACAAGAAUGCAGAGGCUUCCUUUUGCCCCUGAAAAAAAUCAGAUUUCAAACACAACUUGACUGUUCAUUUCUCCAAAAGACAACCAUGAAGCUCCAUCCAAACCUGAAGCAGAUAGUUGGUGCAUGUGUACAGUAACCUGAGGGGAGUGAGGUGACUAUUUCUGAGGAGAACAUGAGCAGUGAAGAUUCACCUUGGAGCUAGAACAGGGACGUGCACAUGAUUAUACAGGGGCAGGGGCUCAAGUUUUUUCCAGUCAUUUAUACAAUAUGGAAAUUAAUGUGAAAUUAAACCACAGAUAUGUGUGAUGAACUGUUUUUAAAACUUAAACUUCAAAUAAAAAUUGUAAACUUCAAAACAUAUGCAAAUUUUUAACAAAGAACAUAGUAAUUUACCUCUAUUUACAUCAAAAUGCAGGCAAUGUCCCAGGCGUUCUUUGUAAAAUUAUUUACAAAACACUGUAUAGUCUCACAAAUGUCACUUUUCAUUUAUGCCACUACAAAAAAACAUGAUGUAAAUGAUGCAUGAUGUAAAACAUGAUGUAAAAAACUUGUGUAGAUCCUCCUCUAUGUCAGUCCAUGUGUAAUUUUUCCAUAAUUCUUUGUUUUUUGCAGCAUUUUUGUUAGUGUAACUGCAGAUUGUGCUGACAGUGUCUAUGGCAAAAAAAAAAAAAAAAAACUGAAAAUGCCUCAACAUGAACCCCUGGUGGUCUCUGAGGGUUAAACCUGCUAACUGCUGCAGCUCUGUCAGCUUCAGUCUCCCAUGCAGAGCUCUGAGCGCAUGUGUGGCUCUGCACCCUUAGCAGCGUUGCUAACUCCUCAGUAAGGAAAGCCUGCUUCAUGUCAGAGUCUCUAAACUCCAGAAGAAGUCGAUAAAAGUCCCUUUCUUUCUAAAAAAAAGUCGUUAGGGGGUCUGAAAAGUCAUUGAAUCUAACAACAAAGUCGCUAGGUUUGCAACUACGUGUCCCAGACUGCAUCCCUGCUGAGAGUCCCUCCCUCCCUUCUCAUGUUGCAGGAAGAACGUAAGCGCCCGCCCCUUGUCAAUCAGUCACCAUAUAAUUUUGGAUUGGUUGUUGUGGUGAAGUUUUCCACCAAUAGGAGAGAUGUUGUGGUGUGUUUUUUUUUUCUUUUGGCAAGCCUUUUCCGCCUGUAAGACCUGUCGCUAAUGUCUGCAUGCUAUGUUUUCCUGUCUCAUACAGCGCGAUCGAGCGCCGAACGUGAUCAAAAUAAGCAGAAAAAAAGUAUCGCGGACAUAAUUUAUCAUAACUCUGGUUUUAUUUGGCCUAUCAACACAAUUUAAAAACUGGUAUAUAGGUUGAGGUCCUCACUUUUGAGAUAAGUUGAAACGGAGAGUCAACGAGGCUCCGUCUUGCAGCUACAUCCGGUUAAAUAUGUCAUGUGACUUGAACGCACACACAGACACACACACGCACACACACACACACACACACACACUCAGAGUCUGUUUUUUAGCACCUGCAAAAACAUGCUAUUUACAUAUUUGACAAGAAUGCAGAGGCUCCUUUUGCCCCUGAAAAAAAUCAAAUUUCAAACACAACUUGACUGGUCAUUUCUCCAAAAGACAACCAUGAAGCUCCAUCCAAACCUGAAGCAGGCAGUUGGUGCAUGUGUACAGUAACCUGAGGGGAGUGAGGUGAGUGCUUCUGAGGAGAACAUGAGCAGUGAAGAUUCACCUUGGAGCUAGAACAGAGACAUGCACAUGAUUAUACUGGGGCAGGGGCUCAAGUUUUUUCCAGUCGUUUAUACAAUAUGGAAAUUAAUGUGAAAUUAAAACACAAAGUAUUAAUAGAAAGGUAAUGACUGUCCUGUGUAGGUGACAGUGAUAUCCAAUAGGCUAGGCACUCACGAGGCUGGCUGUGGCAAGUGUAAGUGAAAGCAACACGCACUGGCAGGAAGAACAGCAAACGCCGAUGAAGGAAAAGGGUCUUUGCAGUGAUGGGCGUUACCAGAGAGGGCGAUGGCCAGAGGACACAAAUGGGACGGGGAGGCAGCGCGUUGGGGGGGGGACGCGACACAGCUCGGGCCCGCCAGUGCCCCAACGGGGUCCUAGUCUUUGUUUCUUUCUUUCUUUCUUUCUUUCUUUCUUUCUUCUUUUUCCUCCCCUUUGAACUGGAAAAUGGCCCACUUCCCACUGGCGAAAACUCAUGAAAUUUGGUAGGACGACCGGGCCUGGUGAAAAAUUCGAUAUUCUGAAGUCGCCCAAACAAUAAAAUGCAAAAUGGCUCCAUAGCGCCCCCUAAGGUGGAAAUUCACACUAUUGACUGUCAAGCCUGUACGCUUUGUCAUAUUGACACAAAAAUUGACACACAUAUGUAUCUCAAUAAGAUCUACAAAAAAGUCAGUGCGGCCGUAUCUGUCAAAAUUACGGUUAAAGGGUUAUUUCGCAUUUUUUGCCGAUCCGCACACAUUGGAAUUUCGCUAACUCCUCCAAAGGCUUUCGUUCCACCGGCACCACAUUUGCUCAGGCCAAUCUACACCCCGUGGCCAUUAAAAGUUAUCAAAAUCAUGACGCUGCACCCCAAGGUUUAGGUUCUAGGGGGCGCCAAAGAUAACACUAAAAUCCACAUAUUUAAAAGUCUUAUAACUUUUUAUUUUUGUCCUCACUGGCCUCCAAGUUUUCUAGGAUGAUGCAAUGUCCAGCCAUCAACACAUUUGUGAAGGAAUUUUUACUCCCCAAAAGAGCGCCCCCCAUGGCAGGAGAAAAAAGUCCAUUUUUUCUUGUCCCCUAAGGUGAAAAUACACAUUGUUGAGUGUCACGCCUAUACGCUUUGUCAAAAUGACACAAAAAUUGACACACACAUGUAACUCAAUAAGAUCUACAAAAAAGUCCAUGCGCGCGUAUCUGUCAAAUGUACAGUUAAAGGGUUAUUCCGCAUUUUUUGCCGAUACGCACACAUUGGAAUUUCGCUAACUCCUCCGAAGGCUUUCGUUCCACUGGCACCACAUUUGCUCAGGCCAAUCUACACCCCAUGGCCAUUAAAAGUUAUUCAAAUCAUGAUGCUGCACCCCAUGGUUUAGGUUCUAGGGGGCGCCAAAAAUAACCCAAAAAUCCACAUUCUUAAAUGUUUUAUAACUUUUUAUUUUUGUCCUCACUGGCCUCCAAGUUUUCUAGGAUGAUGCAAUGUCCAGCCAUCAACACAUUUGUGAAGGAAUUUUUACUCCCCAAAAGAGCGCCCCCCCAUGGUAGGAGAAAAAAGUCAAUUUUUUCUUGUCCCCGUACAUAAAAAUACACAUUGUUGAGUGUCACGCCUGAACGCUUUGUCAUAUUGACACAAAAAUUGACAAUCAUGUGUAUCUCAAUUAGAUCUACGAAAAAGUCAAGAGCGCGUAUCUGUAUAAUGUACGGUUAAAGGGCUAUUUUGCAUUUUUUGCCGAUUCGCACACAUUGGAAUGUGGCUAUCUCCUCCUAAGGCUUUCGUCCCACCGAUACCAAAUUUGCUCAGGGCAAUCUACACCCCAUGCCCAUUCAAAGUUGUAAAAAUCAUGACGCUGCACCCCACGGUUUACGUUCUAGGGGGCGCCAAAGAUGACCCAAAAAUCCACAUUCUUAAAAGUCAUUUUGGCCACUGCAGGAGUACAGAGUACUGCAGUUCUAGGGGGCGCCAAAGAUGACCCAAAAAUCCACAUUCUUAAAAGUCUUUUUGGCCACUGCAGGAGUACAGAGUACUGCAGGAUACACACACAUAUACACACACGCCAACAUACACACACACACACACACACACACACACACACACACAGACACACACCCACACUCAGAGUCUGUUUUUUAGCACCUGCAAAAACAUGCUGUUUACAUAUUCGACAAGAAUGCAGAGGCUUCCUUUUGCCCCUGAAAAAAAUCAAAUUUCAAACACAACUUGACUGUUCAUUUCUCCAAAAGACAACCAUGAAGCUCCAUUUCAAACCUGAAGCAGAUAGUUGGUGCAUGUGUACAGUAACCUGAGGGGAGUGAGGUGACUAUUUCUGAGGAGAACAUGAGCAGUGAAGAUUCACCUUGGAGCUAGAACAGGGACGUGCACAUGAUUAUACAGGGGCAGGGGCUCAAGUUUUUUCCAGUCAUUUAUACAAUAUGGAAAUUAAUGUGAAAUUAAACCACAAAUAUGUGUGAUGAACUGUUUUUAAAACUUAAACUUCAAAUAAAAAUUGUAAACUUCAAAACAUAUGCAAAUUUUUAACAAAGAACAUAGUGAUUUACCUCUAUUUACAUCAAAAUGCAGGCAAUGGCCCAGGCGUUCUUUGUAAAAUUAUUUACAAAACACUGUAUAGUCUCACAAAUGUCACUUUUUAUUUAUGCCACUACAAAAAAACAUGAUGUAAAUGAUGCAUGAUGUAAAACAUGAUGUAAAAAACUUGUGUAGAUCCUCCUCUAUGUCAGUCCAUGUGUAAUUUUUCCAUAAUUCUUUGUUUUUUGCAGCAUUUUUGUUAGUGUAACUGCAGAUUGUGCUGACAGUGUCUAUGGCACAAAAAAAAAAAAAAAAUUAAAAUGCCUCAACAUGAACCCCUGGUGGUCUCUGAGGGUGAAACCUGCUAACUGCUGCAGCUCUGUCAGCUUCAGUCUCCCAUGCAGAGCUCUGAGCGCAUGUGUGGCUCUGCACCCUUAGCAGCGUUGCUAACUCCUCAGUAAGGAAAGCCUGCUUCAUGUCAGAGUCUCUAAACUCCAGAAGAAGUCGAUAAAAGUCCCUUUCUUUCUAAAAAAAAGUCGUUAGGGGGUCUGAAAAGUCAUUGAAUCUAACAACAAAGUCGCUAGGUUUGCAACUACGUGUCCCAGACUGCAUCCCUGCUGAGAGUCCCUCCUUCGCUUCUCAUGUUGCAGGAAGAACGUAAGCGCCCGCCCCUUGUCAAUCAGUCACCAUAUAAUUUUGGAUUGGUUGUUGUGGUGAAGUUUUCCACCAAUAGGAGAGAUGUUGUGGUGUGUUUUUUUUUUCUUUUGGCAAGCCUUUUCCGCCUGUAAGACCUGUCGCUAAUGUCUGCAUGCUAUGUUUUCCUGUCUCAUACAGCGCGAUCGAGCGCCGAACGUGAUCAAAAUAAGCAGAAAAAAAGUAUCGCGGACAUAAUUUAUCAUAACUCUGGUUUUAUUUGGCCUAUCAACACAAUUUAAAAACUGGUAUAUAGGUUGAGGUCCUCACUUUUGAGAUAAGUUGAAACGGAGAGUCAACGAGGCUCCGUCUUGCAGCUACAUCCGGUUAAAUAUGUCAUGUGACUUGAACGCACACACAGACACACACACACGCACACACACACACACACACACACACACACACACACUCAGAGUCUGGUUUUUAGCACCUGCAAAAACAUGCUAUUUACAUAUUUGACAAGAAUGCAGAGGCUCCUUUUGCCCCUGAAAAAAUCAAAUUUCAAACACAACUUGACUGCUCAUUUCUCCAAAAGACAACCAUGAAGCUCCAUCCAAACCUGAAGCAGGCAGUUGGUGCAUGUGUACAGUAACCUGAGGGGAGUGAGGUGAGUGCUUCUGAGGAGAACAUGAGCAGUGAAGAUUCACCUUGGAGCUAGAACAGAGACAUGCACAUGAUUAUACAGGGGCAGGGGCUCAAGUUUUUUCCAGUCGUUUAUACAAUAUGGAAAUUAAUGUGAAAUUAAAACACAAAGUAUUAAUAGAAAGGUAAUGACUGUCCUGUGUAGGUGACAGUGAUAUCGAAUAGGCUAGGCACUCACGAGGCUGGCUGUGGCAAGUGUAAGUGAAAGCAACACGCACUGGCAGGAAGAACAGCAAACGCCGAUGAAGGAAAAGGGUCUUUGCAGUGAUGGGCGUUACCAGAGAGGGCGAUGGCCAGAGGACACAAAUGGGACAGGGAGGCAGCACGUUGGGGGGGGGGGGGGGGGGGGACGCGACACGGCUCGGGCCCGCCAGUGCCCCAACGGGGUCCUAGUUAGGGCCCGAGCCAGCUGCAGAGCAGCCGGGCGUAGGCCCUAUUAUUCCCCAAGUGGUUUUUCUUUGUUUCUUUCUUUCUUUUUUCUUUUUCCUCCCCUUUGAACUGGAAAAUGGCCCACUUCCCACUGGCGAAAACUCAUGAAAUUUGGCAGGACGACCGGGCCUGGUAAAAAAUUUGAUAUUCCGAAGUCGCCCAAACAAGAAAAUGCAAAAUGGCUCCAUAGCGCCCCCUAAGGUGAAAAUUCACACUAUUGACUGUCACGCCUGUACGCUUUGUCAAAAUGACACAAAAAUUGACACACACAUGUAUCUCAAUAAGAUCUACAAAAAAGUCAAUGCGCGCGUAUCUGUCCAAUUUACGGUUAAAGGGUUAUUUCGCAUUUUUUGCAGAUUCGCACACAUUGGAAUUUCGCUAAUUCCUCCGAAGGCUUUCGUUCCACCGGCACCACAUUUGCUCAGGCCAAUCUACACCCCAUGGCCAUUAAAAGUUAUUCAAAUCAUGACGCUGCACCCCACGGUUUAGGUUCUAGGGGGCGCCAAAUAUAACCCUAAAAUCCACAUAUUUAAAAGUCUUAUAACUUUUUAUUUUUGUCCUCACUGGCCUCCAUGUUUUCUAG